AAUAAACCAAUUUUUACUUUUUACCUUUAAUUUUUGACUCUUCGUCUUAUUUAAAAUUUUUUUGCGAUUGAUAUUUUUGUUUUUAUUAGAUGAUAAAUCAUAAAUAGUACUUUACGUGUGACUAAUUUUUUUCUAAUUUCCUAAAAUUUUUUCAAAUAAGACGGAUGGUCAAAUGUUAGACACAGAAAUCGAAAAGUUCGUUUUUU
rnacentral:pre_miRNA from 1 species